GACGAACGCUGGCGGCGUGCUUAACACAUGCAAGUCGAACGGAAAGGCCCUGCUUUUGUGGGGUUCUCGAGUGGCGAACGGGUGAGUAACACGUGAGUAACCUGCCCUUGACUUUGGGAUAACUUCAGGAAGCUGGGGCUAAUACCGGAUAGGAGCUCCUGCUGCAUGGUGGGGGUUGGAAAGUUUCGGCGGUUGGGGAUGGACUCGCGGCUUAUCAGCUUGUUGGUGGGGUAGUGCUUACCAAGGCGUUGCCGGGUAGCCGGCCUGCGAGGGUGACCGGCCUCAUUGGGACUGAGAUACGGCCCAGACUCCUACGGGAGGCAGCGGUGGGGAAUAUUGCACAAUGGGCGGAAGCCUGAUGCAGCAACGCCGCGUGCGGGAUGACGGCCUUCGGGUUGUAAACCGCUUUCGCCUGUGACGAAGCGUGAGUGACGGUAAUGGGUAAAGAAGCACCGGCUAACUACGUG
rnacentral:rRNA from 1 species